AUUGAACGCUGGCGGCAGGCCUAACACAUGCAAGUCGAGCGGUAACAGGGGUAGCUUGCUACCCGCUGACGAGCGGCGGACGGGUGAGUAAUGCAUAGGAAUCUGCCCGGUAGUGGGGGAUAACCUGGGGAAACCCAGGCUAAUACCGCAUACGUCCUACGGGAGAAAGGGGGCUCCGGCUCCCGCUAUUGGAUGAGCCUAUGUCGGAUUAGCUAGUUGGUGAGGUAAAGGCUCACCAAGGCAACGAUCCGUAGCUGGUCUGAGAGGAUGAUCAGCCACAUCGGGACUGAGACACGGCCCGAACUCCUACGGGAGGCAGCAGUGGGGAAUAUUGGACAAUGGGGGCAACCCUGAUCCAGCCAUGCCGCGUGUGUGAAGAAGGCCCUCGGGUUGUAAAGCACUUUCAGCGAGGAAGAACGCCUAGUGGUUAAUACCCAUUAGGAAAGACAUCACUCGCAGAAGAAGCACCGGCUAACUCCGUGCCAGCAGCCGCGGUAAUACGGAGGGUGCAAGCGUUAAUCGGAAUUACUGGGCGUAAAGCGCGCGUAGGUGGCUUGAUAAGCCGGUUGUGAAAGCCCCGGGCUCAACCUGGGAACGGCAUCCGGAACUGUCAGGCUAGAGUGCAGGAGAGGAAGGUAGAAUUCCCGGUGUAGCGGUGAAAUGCGUAGAGAUCGGGAGGAAUACCAGUGGCGAAGGCGGCCUUCUGGACUGACACUGACACUGAGGUGCGAAAGCGUGGGUAGCAAACAGGAUUAGAUACCCUGGUAGUCCACGCCGUAAACGAUGUCGACCAGCCGUUGGGUGCCUAGAGCACUUUGUGGCGAAGUUAACGCGAUAAGUCGACCGCCUGGGGAGUACGGCCGCAAGGUUAAAACUCAAAUGAAUUGACGGGGGCCCGCACAAGCGGUGGAGCAUGUGGUUUAAUUCGAUGCAACGCGAAGAACCUUACCUACCCUUGACAUCUACAGAAGCCGGAAGAGAUUCUGGUGUGCCUUCGGGAACUGUAAGACAGGUGCUGCAUGGCUGUCGUCAGCUCGUGUUGUGAAAUGUUGGGUUAAGUCCCGUAACGAGCGCAACCCU
rnacentral:rRNA from 1 species